CUAACAUCCUACUAAGGGCCGGCC
rnacentral:siRNA from 1 species